CCUACGGGAUGCAGCAGUGGGGAAUAUUGCACAAUGGGGGAAACCCUGAUGCAGCGCCGCCGCGUGAGUGAAGACGUAAUUCGUUGUGUCAAGCUCUAUCAGCAGGGAAGAAAAUGACGGUACCUGAGUAAGAAGCCACGGCUAACUACGUGCCAGCAGCCGCGGUAAUACGUAGGGGGCACGCGUUAUCCGGAGUUACUGGGUGUAACGGGAGCGUAGGCGGCAGUGCAAGUCUUGUGUGAAAGGCGGGGGCUCAACCCCCGGACGGCUCUGGAAACUGUACGGCUUGAGUGCAGGAGAGGUAAGGGGAAUUCCUAGUGUAGCGGUGAAAUGCGUAGAUAUUAGGAGGAACACCAGUGGCGAAGGCGGCUUACUGGACUGUAACUGACGUUGAGGCUCGAAAGCGUGGGGAGCAAACAGGAUUAGAUACCCUAGUAGUC
rnacentral:rRNA from 1 species